GAGUUGUGUGGUAACAGAAACAUUUGUGCAUUCCACCCAAGGUCAGCAUAGAUUUAAAAGCAGACAUAUGCUUUAAAAAUUAAUUCAUGCUGGAAUUGAGAACAUGGAAUUAAUUAGGUGUCCAGAAGCAUCCCGCUCUCACUUCACUCUUACUUUUGAUGCACGUCCCUUUAUUUCACCAAUAUUACAUUCCCCGCCCUCAACUUCCAAAGUGAAGGUGGGGGGUGGUGGGGGAGCAGUGCUGAGUGUUCUUAUCUGAUCAGUUAUCAUAACAGGGUGUUUCUCAGGCCUGGCUUGUGUGAGCCAGGCCCCAAGCAGAGCAGUUAUGUUGGCGAGAAGCAGGUGGCUCCCAUGUUGCUCUAUGGAUUGCCUCAGAGCCUUGGAACAGGAUUCCUUUGUGGGAAGUAAUCUACUUUAACCAUAUAUUAAUACAUACACACACACACUCUCUGCCCCCACCUCACCCCAAAGUAUGAUUUAUUUAUUUUGAAUUUGCUCCAUGGAGAUUUCCAAUCCACCCCCCACCCUCGAGGCUCUGUCCUGUUCUGUGGGCGAAUCUGUUGGAAUCAGACCCUGGUUUAUGAUCUACUGAUUUCUAGAAGAGGGAGUGGGCAACGCAGAGUGAGGCAAGGCAGGGGGGAGCUUUGAUCCUUCCAAUAAGUCACACAGGCUCAGUCAGACAAGCAAAGAGAGCAUCUUGUCCAGGAAGGCCGUCCCCUGCGUGACCGCAGCCCAUUCCCCAGGGUAGGUCAGGCCCGCUGCUGAUGGCUAAUGAGCACGCCAGGUGGGA
rnacentral:lncRNA from 1 species